CAAUAAGCGGAGGAAAAGAAACCAACAGGGAUUGCCUUAGUAACGGCGAGUGAAGCGGCAACAGCUCAAAUUUGAAAUCUGGCCCUUGGGUCCGAAUUGUAAUUUGUAGAGGAUGAUUUUGGUGCGGUAUCUUCCGAGUUCCUUGGAACAGGACGCCUUAGAGGGUGAGAGCCCCGUACGGUUGAAUGCCUAGCCUCUGUAAAUCUCCUUCGACGAGUCGAGUAGUUUGGGAAUGCUGCUCUAAAUGGGAGGUAAAUUUCUUCUAAAGCUAAAUAUUGGCCAGAGACCGAUAGCGCACAAGUAGAGUGAUCGAAAGAUGAAAAGCACUUUGAAAAGAGGGUUAAAUAGCACGUGAAAUUGUUGAAAGGGAAGGAUUUGUGACCAGACUUUUUCUGGGCGGAUCAUCCGGGGUUCUCUCCGGUGCACUUCGCCCAGUAAAGGCCAGCAUCGGUUUUCGGCGUGGGAUAAAAGCAGUAGGAAUGUGGCUCUCUACGGGGAGUGUUAUAGCCUAUUGUAUAAUACCGCGCUGGGGACCGAGGUUCGCGCUUCUGCAAGGAUGCUGGCGUAAUGGUUAUCAAUCACCCGUCUUGAAACACGGACCAAGGAGUCGAACAUUUGUGCGAGUGUUUGGGUGUUAAACCCUCACGCGUAAUGAAAGUGAACGGAGGUGAGAGCCCUUACGGGUGCAUCAUCGACCGAUCCUGAAGUUUUCGGAUGGAUUUGAGUAAGAGCAUAACUGUUCGGACCCGAAAGAUGGUGAACUAUGCGUGGAUAGGGUGAAGCCAGAGGAAACUCUGGUGGAGGCUCGCAGCGGUUCUGACGUGCAAAUCGAUCGUCAAAUCUGCGCAUGGGGGCGAAAGA
rnacentral:rRNA from 1 species